GCUGGGAGAGCGCCUGCAUGGCAUGCAGGAGGUCAGCGGUUCGAUCCCGCUAAGCUCCACCA
rnacentral:tRNA from 1 species